rnacentral:rRNA from 1 species
CUACGGGAGGCAGCAGUCGAGAAUCUUCGGCAAUGGACGCAAGUCUGACCGAGCGACGCCGCGUGCGGGAUGACGGCCCUUGGGUUGUAAACCGCUGUCAGAGGGGAUGAAAUGUGGAAAGGCAAUCCUUUCCAUUUGACAGAGCCUCAGAGGAAGCACGGGCUAAGUACGUGCCAGCAGCCGCGGUAACACGUACUGUGCGAACGUUAUUCGGAAUCACUGGGCUUAAAGGGUGCGUAGGCGGUUUAGUAAGUAGGGUGUGAAAUGCCAGAGCUCAACUUUGGCACGGCGCUCUAAACUGCUAAACUUGAGUGAGAUAGGGGUGUACGGAACUUCCGGUGGAGCGGUGAAAUGCGUUGAUAUCGGAAGGAACACCGGUGGCGAAAGCGGUACACUGGGUCUUAACUGACGCUGAGGCACGAAAGCCAGGGUAGCGAACGGGAUUAGAAACCCGUGUAGUCC